rnacentral:rRNA from 1 species
AGCAGCCGCGGUAAUUCCAGCUCCAAUAGCGUAUAUUAAAGUUGUUGCAGUUAAAAAGCUCGUAGUUGAAUUUCGGGGUCAGUAGGUUGGUCGUGCCACUGGUAUGUACUGGCCUCACUGAUUCCUCCUUCCUGAUGAACCGUAAUGCCAUUAAUUUGGUGUUGCGGGGAAUCUGGACUGUUACUUUGAAAAAAUUAGAGUGUUUAAAGCAGGCUAACGCUUGAAUACAUUAGCAUGGAAUAAUGGAAUAGGACGUUCGAUCCUAUUUUGUUGGUUUCUAGGAUUGACGUAAUGAUUAAUAGGGAUAGUUGGGGGCAUUAGUAUUCAAUUGUCAGAGGUGAAAUUCUUGGAUUUAUUGAAGACUAACUACUGCGAAAGCAUUUGCCAAGGAUGUUUUCAUUAAUCAAGAACGAAAGUUAGGGAUCGAAGACGAUCAGAUACCGUCGUAGUCUUAACCAUAAACUAUGCCGACUAGGGAUCGGAUGAUGUUAAUUUUUAAUGACUCAUUCGGCGCCUUACG